UCCCUGGUAGUAUAUCGGUUAGUACACGCGCCUGUCAUCUUUUCGGACGCGCGAAAGCGGGGUUCGACUCCCCGCCAGGGAG
rnacentral:tRNA from 1 species